rnacentral:rRNA from 1 species
UACAGAGGGUGCAAGCGUUAAUCGGAAUUACUGGGCGUAAAGCGCGCGUAGGUGGUUAUGUAAGUUGGAUGUGAAAUCCCCGGGCUCAACCUGGGAACUGCAUCCAAAACUGCAUGGCUAGAGUACGGUAGAGGGUGGUGGAAUUUCCUGUGUAGCGGUGAAAUGCGUAGAUAUAGGAAGGAACACCAGUGGCGAAGGCGACCACCUGGACUGAUACUGACACUGAGGUGCGAAAGCGUGGGGAGCAAACAGG